UUAACGGGCGUUUAUUGCAGUAUAAGAUAUCGGGAAUUUAAACGAGUGAUGUAACACCGCUCGCUUCAAAGCUUUGUAAAUACAAAUGGUCUUCGAGUGUUUGUGGCUCUUCUUUAUGUACGUAAUUUGAACAAGUGUUCCAUCUCUAUUUGAGGCUACAUUUACGUAAUGCCAACGUAAUUUUUUUCAUAAUAGCUUGUAUCUCAUCGUUCGUACAUAGGUAGCAAUGCUCGUUCAUCAAUUUUAACACUUGACUAACCGCUAGCGGUUCAAGAGCAUACGAACAUCCGAUCGGCAGCUCAGGCGCAGAUUCUCCCUGGCGCCGGCUCUGUUUCGGUUUAGACUCUCCAAUACCAUUCUUUUCGUUCAUCGCGAACGGAAAUUUGAAAGUGCAAAAUUACAUAGACUACGCAUAAUAUGAAAAAAUAUGUAAAACAUCCAAAGUAUAGUGCUUUGUAUACUUGAUAGGUAAAAGAAUUUUCAAACGAAGUUUUACUGUUUUAAAUAUCUUCUUAAAAAUAUGAAUUUGGACAAAAAUUCAAGGUAUAGUCUUAAGAUAUCUUGUCUAUAAGUGUGGAACAGUAAAAUUUUUCUAAAAAUAAAUUUUAUUGAUAGGAAUGUACCUUGAACAGCAAACAGGCCGUUACUAGACACCUCUCCGAAAUUAUUGCGAACGAGGCAAGUAUACUCGCCAGCAUCUUGUGGACAAACAUUGGAUAAUCUUAGUGCGACGCCACCGUCACCAUAUAUGACGUAUUUAUGGUAAUCGUUGUCAGGUAUCUCACGACCAUCCUUUAACCAAGUCACCGAAAAAGGCGGUGUACCUGAAAAACAUGAUUUAAUGCUCGUUGAAUUAUAUAAUCAACCAUUUAUAUUAAUCGAUGCAAUUGAUUUCAUCCCUUAAAAGUCGAAAGAAUUCACGGGAGAUGUAGUUGCUCAGAAGUUGCACCGGUCGACUCCAUAAAUUGAGAAAUAGAGAAAACUCACGACACUAAUUUAGUUUGGAGUUUGCGAUUAUUUACUAUAUCUUCCAGCGAUAAAUAAACUUAUAGAAACAAAUAAUUCUUUUUUUGAGAAAUUGAACGUUAAUCAUAUGCAAUCAGGAAAUGAAAAGAAAUUUACAAAAAAAAAAAAAAAAAAAAAAAAAAAAAAAAAAAAAAAAAAAAAAUGGAGUUGCUUAGUUUGGCUUCAGAAGAAGCUCGUGACAAAAGAUGGAAAGCAACAAAAAUUAUACAAUAGUUUACGAUAAGUGCUAACUUAUACUGUUCGUUGAGCUAACAUUAUUUUUAUGUUUACUAUACCCGCAAGUCUCGCCUGUAGUUCGUAACAGUGACCUUCCAUGACAAUCGAUUCUUCUGGAAGAGAUUGUAAGAAUUUCGGUGGAUCUUUGUCGCACGUAGACGGAUUAUGAGAAUCAAGAACGGUCACCUGUUAUCGAAGAAACAAUUACGAAAAUAAUUAUUUCCCAUUGCAGGACGGUAAUGUCGAGUUGAGAAACGAAUAGAAUCCAGAAGCGUAUGUCUAUGCCACGUGGUUAGCGUAUGUCUAAGAUUAUUUACCUGACAAGAAUUCUUUGUAGAACCAAGGACGUUCGUUGCCACGCAGGUGUACUCACCCGCGUCGCUCGCUUUCACUUUCAAAAUUUCGACUUUCGCAGUUGUCCCGUCGAAGUACCUUUUUACUCGAAUCGAUCGUUCCAACGGGCGUCCAUUUCUGGAAAUUUGAUCCUUUGAUACUUUAUGCUUUGAAUAAAUUGCAAUUAUAAAUUAGAUACGUAAACACAACAUGGAAACUAUGCUACGAGUUUUUAAAGCUUCCUCUCUUCCGUCGACGCGAUUUGUCUUUGAAAUAGGAACAGUGGAAGUCCUAUUCUAAAUGAGUAAAGUGUAAUAAAUUCUGUGAAAAGUUCUACAGGAUUCGAGCUCGAUGUACAAAUCGUUAGAUGAUCGGCUAUUGUCGUAAGACCUUUUAGACGCUCCGAGAUUUAUGAUUACGUUAUUUGCUACAUGAAACACGCGUGAAAAACUAAAAUGCAUCUCUAAAUCUAAACGAAUCAGAAAUAGAUAAAUCACAGAAAAAGUUCAAAAAGUCUGUACUUGUAAAAAAAUGGCAAUUGUUCAGACAUAAUUGUGCAUUGGAAGACUUUGAUAAAAAUGAUUAUGUAAUAAUGUCGCAGAAGGGAACUUUCUUUGUUUUACCUGAACCACGUUGGUGUUAGACUAGGCGUUCCUCUAAUACCGCAAUCGAGAUAUAAUCUUCCGUUUAUUCUGCUAGUUGUGUCUAAGAGGCUUCGGCUAAAAGAUGGAUACGUUCUAGGCGAUGCGCUCCUAGUUCUGAUUGUUCUGGCAACCGACCCAAGUAAUUGACGAUCUUUUUGAACAAAUUAUCAAAAUUGUAAGAAUGAAAUAACAGGUAAUCCUGUUCAGUUUUUCGAAUGUUUGUGUAAAAAGGAAAUGCUCAUUUUUCUUGUAACUUAAAUUAACGUAUACUAAUAACUACUUACGAUAUAUUUGAGUAGAAAAUUGCUAAUUUAUCUGAUAAUGUCAUAUCAGCAAGUUUGCCGUAAUUUAAAGAAUACGAUAAAAUAUAAUCUCAAUUUACAUACUAAUUAUUUCCAGGCGGGCACUGGCUUCGAUACGACCAUAAUCAUUCUCCACGAUCACUCUGUACAGUCCUGCGUCUUCUUGGGUCACUUCGACGAUUUCCAAUAUCUUUACGUCGUCUCUUUCCUUUAUCGAGAUUCUAGCAGUCGGCGUGACAAUUAUGCCAUUUUUGUCCCAUUUCACCCAUGGUGACGGGUGGCCAACUACAGCACAUUGGAAUCGCACGGUUUCCCCUUCCUCGACCACGCGAUUGUGCGGAACUGCGUAAAAUUUCGGUGGACUGAUCUUUGGCCGUCUUGACAUCGACCUACUUCGUGGAAGAAGCUGCGGAGACCUUAAUUCUCGACCAUCUCAUUCAACGCAAGAGUUUGGUCACCAUCGUUUGAGUCAACGUGAAUUUUGUUGUUAGGCCAGAUAUAUUUAGGAAAAUUAAAUUAACCCGUAAUUGCUACGAUGAGAAUAAAUAAUUGAAAGGACAAAGAUGGAUACAUAAAAUAAUAAAAAAAGGUUAGUAUUAUGGGGUUAUAGUUGUUACUUUAUUUAAAUUAUCCUUAUGUAACUAUUUUAGUUAAAUCAUACCAUUAAUACGUACUUGUAUGUACAACACUCGACAAGUUAUCAUGGAAAUAAAAAUUGCAGGAGUCUGACAAACUUCAUUUUACCAAUUACGAGUUAAACCUUUCCGAAAGUUUAUUGUUUUAUUAUAUUAGUAAUUUAUUAUUAUUAUUUCACACGAUUUAUUCUUUUUACGCUUACGCGAAACUGCGGGAGAUAAACUCCUGAUCGGUGUUGAGCGUGGCGUCGACCUCGGCGUCGAUCCGGCCGAUAGAAGUCCUGCGGGCCUCGUUAAU